rnacentral:lncRNA from 1 species
AUGGAAUGCGUCAUAACACAGACAAAUCACAUCAAGAGUAAAUCUGUCACCACAUAGUCCCAGUGACUCUGUGCCAGGGCGUAGAAUCGAGCACCUGGUCUUCCUGUCAUAUAUGUAUAUGUGUAUAUAACACCUCUGUGCUUACCAUUGCCAGGGCGUAGUCAAAGGCUCCUGGACUUUGCUAUACCUGCCAGGGCGUAGUCAAAGGCUCCUGGUCUUUACUAUACCUGCCAGGGCGUAGUCAAAGGCUCCUGGACUUCCUGUCUGUGACUAUUGGAUCAUUCAGCAUUUACUCACAUCAACAGAU